rnacentral:rRNA from 1 species
GAUGAACGCUGGCGGCGUGCUUAACACAUGCAAGUCGAACGGUGAAGGCGGAGCUUGCUCUGCUGGAUCAGUGGCGAACGGGUGAGUAACACGUGAGCAAUCUGCCCCUGACUCUGGGAUAAGCGCUGGAAACGGCGUCUAAUACUGGAUACGAGCUGCGAAGGCAUCUUCAGCAGCUGGAAAGAACUUCGGUCAGGGAUGAGCUCGCGGCCUAUCAGCUUGUUGGUGAGGUAACGGCUCACCAAGGCGUCGACGGGUAUCCGGCCUGAGAGGGUGACCGGCCACACUGGGACUGAGACACGGCCCAGACUCCUACGGGAGGCAGCAGUGGGGAAUAUUGCACAAUGGGCGAAAGCCUGAUGCAGCAACGCCGCGUGAGGGACGACGGCCUUCGGGUUGUAAACCUCUUUUAGCAGGGAAGAAGCGAAAGUGACGGUACCUGCAGAAAAAGCGCCGGCUAACUACGUG